UCUAUUCUUGAGUGGUUGUAUGUA
rnacentral:siRNA from 1 species